rnacentral:misc_RNA from 1 species
GAAAAGUUUUUUAAGAAAAUUUGAAAACAAAGUUUUGUACUCGCAUGUGUUGGUUUUCAGUUUUCCAAAUAGAGAAUUGGAAAACUAAUUUACAGUUUUGCAAAAUUUAAUUAAGAUUUGGAAAACAAUUUUACGUUGUUUUCAACUAUUUUUCUUUAUGAUAAAUGUCUUGUUUUCCAAAUGAAAAAUAAUGACUUUUCCAUAACCUAAAUUAUACUAUAAUUUUUUUUCUCAUAACUAAAAUUGAAUGAUUAUUUAGGAA